rnacentral:rRNA from 1 species
UACAGAGGUGCCAAGCGUUAGGCGGAAUCACUGGGCUUAAAGCGCGUGUAGGUGGGUCGUUAAGUGUCCGCGUGAAAUCCCACGGCUCAACCGUGGAACUGCCGGGCAUACUGGCGAUCUUGAGGCAUUCAGGGGCGAGCGGAACAAGUGGUGGAGCGGUGAAAUGCGUAGAUAUCGUUUGGAACGCCAAUGGUGAAAACAGGUUGCUGGGAGUGUGCUGACGCUGAGACACGAAAGCCAGGGGAGCGAACGGG